CCUUUCAUGCUGUAUGCAGAAUGAAGAAGAAAUACCUAUUUCCAUUGCCUAGUGAAUUCCCAUUAGUAUUUCUUCUUUCACUGGAUUAUGUUGUAUGCAGAAUGAAGAAGAAAUACCUAUUUUCAUUGCCUAGUGAAUUCCCAUUAGUAUUUCUUCUUUCACUGGAUUAUGUUGUAUGCAGAAUGAAGAAGAAAUACCUAUUUUCAUUGCCUAGUGAAUUCCCAUUAGUAUUUCUUCUUUCACUGGAUUAUGUUGUAUGCAGAAUGAAGAAGAAAUACCUAUUUUCAUUGCCUAGUGAAUUCCCAUUAGUAUUUCUUCUUUCACUGGAUUAUGUUGUAUGAGAAAAAUAAUUGUUGCUCGCUCAUAUUUCACGUCUAAGACAUAAGAUAGGCUUGACGUGAG
rnacentral:lncRNA from 1 species